GACGAACGCUGGCGGCGUGCUUAACACAUGCAAGUCGAACGGAAAGGCCCUGCUUUUGUGGGGUGCUCGAGUGGCGAACGGGUGAGUAACACGUGAGUAACCUGCCCUUGACUUUGGGAUAACUUCAGGAAACUGGGGCUAAUACCGGAUAGGAGCUCCUGCUGCAUGGUGGGGGUUGGAAAGUUUCGGCGGUUGGGGAUGGACUCGCGGCUUAUCAGCUUGUUGGUGGGGUAGUGGCUUACCAAGGCUUUGACGGGUAGCCGGCCUGAGAGGGUGACCGGCCACAUUGGGACUGAGAUACGGCCCAGACUCCUACGUGAGGCAGCAGUGGGGAAUAUUGCACAAUGGGCGGAAGCCUGAUGCAGCAACGCCGCGUGCGUGAUGACGUCCUUCGGGUUGUAAACCGCUUUCGCCUGUGACGAAGCGUGAGUGACGGUAAUGGGUAAAGAAGCACCGGCUAACUACGUG
rnacentral:rRNA from 1 species